ACGAGUUUCGCCAGUUGUGCUUUCACUCUCCAGAUGAGGUCUGGGUCAUUGCCCCUUACAUUCUAAACACGUGCAAUGGCUUAGAAGCUGUUUCAGGCUUUGGGUCUCAAGGUGUGGUCUCCAAUCCACCAUCAUCAGCAUCGGCUGGGAACUUGUUAGAGCGGCAACUUCUAGGAUCCCAACCCGGAUCUAUGAGCCUGACAUUCCAGGGGAGCAAGCUGGUACUCUGUCUUAACCUGCUCUCCAGAAUGGCAUGCACUUGGAAUCCUAACAUAUGCAGCUGUUUGAGCCUGCCAUGUUUAAGAAGAAGGUGCACGUAUGAAUGGACUACACAGCGACUGGGUUACCAAUGUGGCUGCUCCCACCCCAGGGAGAGGACAGUCAGUGCAUUUUACACCCUGUGGCCCGGCGCCCUCACCUGCUAGUACGUGCUUUGCUCUCCGAAUUUUUGUUUUAGUGAGAAUCUACGUGGUAUGCAGGGGGAAAAAAAAAGAAAAAGAAAACCAAUAAGUUGCAUGAUCUAUGUUUGCCCAAGUAGUCCAUUUUCUGCAACAGAUUCAGUUUUCAUGCGAUCCUAGAAUCUGUCACUAUAAUAAUAUAAAUAAUUACCAGGUACUUAAUGUGCCUCACGCUGCAAGUGUUCAUUAAGUAUUUAAAAAUAACUCUCUGAAGUAGAUAUCACUAAAGUCAUUUUACAGAUGUAGAAACGGAGGCUUAGGAAAUCUAGCGGACUUGCCCCGGGUCACAGAGCUAGUGAGUCACGCCCGGAGAUUCACAUCUGUUGCUCUCACUCAAGGCCUGUGUUUAUCUCUGUUCCUUGCUUCAGAAACCUCUUAGCAGACACCAUGUGUCAAUUGCCUUGCUAGAUGCUGAGGAAAAUAUAGGAACUGAUUUCAACAGAGCUUAUUAGGAAAGAACAAUUAAAAAAAAAAAAACCAAGUAACUGAAUAAUUAUGCAUUUGUGUGAGGCGGGCAGUGCAGGCUCAGAUGUUCUCCCUGACGUCCGCGCAUCAUCUAAUUCAUGGAAGACACCUGUGGUGGUCUUCAUCCUGUCCUGUCCCAGUUCUCAAGCAGUGUGAAGGAAUGGGACACAGCAAAGUCUGUGUUGGUGACGAAUCCAUCAAUUGGGUCAUCUCUCCCGCUCGUAAAGGAAGCUGGAAGAAGAUGUGCCUCCGGAGAUGAAUCCGGAUCAUUCCAGAAGCUUGCCGACUGGCCCCAGGGACCAAACUGCCGUUCAGAGGAGACUCGGCCCCAGGCCUGCCUGCUGGAUAGAGUCACAUGUUUUCAGCUUGCACAGUAGCGCAGACAGCUUUGAGUUGAUACAGACGAUUUGGCUACUAUCUCACUUUCAGCUAAUUUUAUGAUUGUAUGGGCACACGCUUUCCUAACAAGUUCCAAUCCUAUCUUGUGGCCAGUCCACGUCUUUCAGAAUGUAGUGAGAUUCAUGGCUUCAUUUUAACCUCGGGCUGUUUCCACCAUUGAAAUCUUCACAUCAGGUUGCUAGAGACACACAGGAUUGCCUUUAGUCACUUGACUUGAACAGGUGCCUUAUGCAUGUAUUCACUGGGUGUUCCUCCCACACCUGUUCUCCUUUGGGAGCCUUACAAGCACUAAUUACUAUCAAGGAACCUAAUCCAAAUGGUCUCCAUGGGUGCUCCAGUCAUGAGGGCCUCAGGCGUUUUCCAAGCAGUGUCGAAAGUCUCUCUUUGCUCCAUGUGGGAGAUGGGUCAGUUUGCUAGGGCUGCUGUAACAAACUACUACAGACUUGGAUGACUUGAGCAACAAGAAUUUAUUUUCUUGCUAUUACGGAGGCUCAAGGUUUAAGAUCAGUGGUUUGGGGGUUGGUUCUUUUGUAGAUUCUAGCCAUCAUCUCCCUGGUCCUCACGUGGUUUUCCCUUGGUGUGUUUCUGGAUCCCCACCUCCUCUUCUUAAAAGAACACCCUUCAUAUUGGAUUAAAGCCUGCCCUAAUGACUUUAUUUCAGUUUAGUUUUCCUCCUCAAGGCCCUGUCUCUGCAUACAGUCACAUACUGAGGUCCUCGGGUUAGGACUUCAAAGCACAGAUGUUGGAGGCAAAAUCCAGCUCAUAACGGGGCAGUGCGCAAAAUGUAAGUGCGUUCCCGACAGACGUGUCACUUCGUGAUGGAGUAGAGGGUUCAUGGCACCUCCUCAAUUCCCGCAUAUUCCACAGGGCUGGCCUGGAGCCACCUCAGGGCCUGCUCCCUGUCCCUGUACGGAGAGCAGCCUCUGCAAGCACAGUGUUUGCCCUGGACAGGACAUGAAAGGGUGGAAAUAACAUUCACUCGCAAAGGGAAAGUGAUUUAAUUUCCUUGCAGGCCUGAGGAAGUCCUUGGACUGUCUCCGAUUGUUGGUAAUGCUUUUAACACUUGCUAAUUCCUCCCUACAUGCUCUGGAACCAUUUUUUCUUUUCCUAAAUAAACAGAAAUCACUGUAGGCCCAGGAGCUUUUGGCUAGCAACAGCAUCUAGCCCUAACGGAACAUUGUUUUUGUUUUGUGUCUGUUAGGUUUGCUUUCAUUCAAUGCAUGAGGUUACCUUGCAUUUCCAUUUGUGGUGAGUGACCGUGUUUUGCUAUGGUUGUAAUUUAGCAUAAUGCAUUUACAUUUUGGAAAGUGAAACUCCUGGAAGAAAAAUAUUAAUGGUAGCACAGGUGGUUGAUAGAUACGGCAAGAGUAUUUGCACCAGCCCCAAGAGAAUGGAAGUCUUCUAAAUGCUGCUGUACUGUGUAAGAUAUGCAGAAGACUGGUCUUCCCUGGUCUUACAGACUUGAAUUGCCCAUCAAGGCACAUUCGUUCGAGCACCUGGCAUCUCUGCUUCUAGUCUGAACCACAGCCUUGACUAUUAUGCCCAAGCUUGUUUCCAGGGCCAUGUGCCACAUCCCAGCACAGCGUUCCUUCUUUACUGGGGCUAGGAGGACACAGAAUGGGGAAAAACUGCUUGCUCGUGAGGCAGGGUUCCACCCCAUGGAUUCCUCUCCCUGGACUCAGCGCCAACUCCAACAACAGUAAAGCCCUCGUCUGAAUAAAGGAGCAAUUAAUGAGUUUUAGGACCAACACAUGUCGACAGAGCCACAUUUUUGGCUUGAAUCUGAAAACUUGAGAAAUCCCAUAUCUGAUUCAUAAUUCUUUCCCAUGUCACACUUCCGUGUUACAAUUUGGAGUUUCAUUCCUUCCUUCUCUACUGCAUCUCUGAUUUCAUUCCAACUUUAAGGGCUCCGGUAACUUAAUGAGGAAUCUAGGGUUUUGUUUGAGUUGGCUAUUCUGGCUUUAUAAAUGUUUUAUCUGUAAGAGCGAAAUAUCAAAAAAAAAAAAAAAGAAUAAAAUCUCUCUCAAGAUCGGUUAA